rnacentral:rRNA from 1 species
UACAGAGGUCUCAAGCGUUGUUCGGAAUCACUGGGCGUAAAGGGUGCGUAGGCUGCACGGUAAGUCAGAGGUGAAAUCCCGGAGCUCAACUUCGGAAUUGCCUCCGAUACUGCCGUGCUUGAGGACUGGAGAGGAGAUUGGAAUUCACAGUGGAGCAGUGAAAUGCGUAGAUAUUGUGAGGAACACCAGUGGCGAAGGCGGCUUACUGGUCCGGUUCUGACGCUGAGGCGCGAAAGCGUGGGGAGCAAACAGG